GAAAAACAGGUUUUCGUCAAAUACGCGCUAAACUGGUUUGACGAUCUGUACCUAUAAAACUGAUCUUCGAACAUGUGAAAGUAUAUUUUCUGUAGUCCACGAGAUCAAGAAAAGAGAGACAGGACUAAAGCUCGCUGGAAAAGGAGUCUUCGUCAGAUCAAGUGAAAAAGAGUCAUAGAACCUUAGUUCGCCAGAAAACCCAACCGAAAGAAAAUGCCUAAAAAAGACGAGACCAAAGCCAAAAAGACCGACGCAAAGCCAGAGGCUGCAAAAGCCCCCGAGAAGCCAAAGGGAAAACCUGCCGCCAAAAAAGCCGACAAAAAGAAAUGACUCUGACUUGGUCUAAAACGUCAAAAAUAAUCAUCCUAGUUUAACCAGUCAACACAUGAUGAUAAAACAGUUGAAAAUAAGGUUAUUUACGAAAAAAUUAGUCUUAGGAUGACAUUGUACUACACAUCAAUAUAACAUUACAAAUAUUAUAUUAUAUUAAGUGUACCUAAUAUAAAUGAGAAAUCAAUAGGAAUAUGCAUC